rnacentral:rRNA from 1 species
UGGUUCCUGACUAAAGUCUAUAUGGCCUCUGGAUUGGACUGCGGCCGAUCAGGCUGUUGGUGAGGUAAUGGCCCACCAAACCUGUAACCGGUACGGGCUCUGAGAGGAGGAGCCCGGAGAUGGGCACUGAGACAAGGGCCCAGGCCCUAUGGGGCGCAGCAGGCGCGAAACCUCUGCAAUAGGCGAAAGCCUGACAGGGUUACUCUGAGUGACUUUCGCUAAGAAAGUCUUUUGGCACCUCUAAAAAGGGUGCAGAAUAAGGGGUGGGCAAGUCUGGUGUCAGCCGCCGCGGUAAUACCAGCACCCCGAGUGGUCGGGACGAUUAUUGGGCCUAAAGCAUCCGUAGCCGGUUCUGCAAGUCCCCCGUUAAAUCCAGCUGCUCAACAGAUGGGCCGCGGAGGAUACUACAGAGCUAGGAGGCAGGAGAGGCAAGCGGUACUCAAUGGGUAGGGGUAAAAUCCGUUGAUCCAUUGAAGACCACCAGUGGCGAAGGCGGCUUGCUAGAAUGCGCUCGACGGUGAGGGAUGAAAGCUGGGGGAGCAAACCGGAUUAGAUACCCGGGUAGUCCCAGCCGUAAACGAUGCAGACUCGGUGAUGGGUUGGCUUCGCGCUAACCCAGUGCCGCAGGGAAGCCGUUAAGUCUGCCGCCUGGGUAGUACGGUCGCAAGACUGAAACUUAAAGGAAUUGGCGGGGGAGCACCACAAGGGGUGAAGCCUGCGGUUCAAUUGGAUUCAACGCCGGG